rnacentral:lncRNA from 1 species
GUGGAUGUGCAUGGACAUGGUUUUAGUGAAAUUUUGAUAACUUUUAAAGGGCAAAAAGGUAAUUAAGUAAAUAAAGUCAAAAUAACCUAAGAAAAUGCAUUCAUCUUCUUCAUUUUUCACUACACAACCGAUUUUCACCAUUGAAGGAUAGGGCUACGUUCAGCCAAGCUUCCUUUAGUCUAUGAAGGUGUUUCUGAGCCCC